rnacentral:rRNA from 1 species
GUCAAGUCAUCAUGCCCCUUAUGACCUGGGCUACACACGUGCUACAAUGGCCGGUACAGAGCGAAGCCAAGGGGUGACCUGGAGCGAAUCGCAGAAAGCCGGUCCCAGUUCGGAUCGGAGGCUGCAACCCGCCUCCGUGAAGUCGGAAUCGCUAGUAAUCGCACAUCAGCAAUGGCGCGGUGAAUACGUUCCCGGACCUU